rnacentral:rRNA from 1 species
UACGAAGGGGGCUAGCGUUGCUCGGAAUUACUGGGCGUAAAGCGCACGUAGGCGGCUUGUUAAGUCGGGGGUGAAAUCCUGGAGCUCAACUCCAGAACUGCCUUCGAUACUGGCGAGCUUGAGUCCGGGAGAGGUGAGUGGAACUGCGAGUGUAGAGGUGAAAUUCGUAGAUAUUCGCAAGAACACCAGUGGCGAAGGCGGCUCACUGGCCCGGUACUGACGCUGAGGUGCGAAAGCGUGGGGAGCAAACAGG